ACGCUGGCGGCGUGCUUAACACAUGCAAGUCGAACGAGAAUCCUGUGGAAAAGAGGGAUUCGGUCCAAUUGAAGCAGAGGACAGUGGCGAACGGUGAGUAACGCGUGAGUAACCUGCCCUGGAGUGGGGGACAACAGUUGGAAACGACUGCUAAUACCGCAUAAGCCCACGGUACCGCAUGGCACUGAGGGAAAAGGAUUUAUUCGCUUUAGGAUGGACUCGCGUCCAAUUAGGCUAGUUGGUGAGGUAACGGCCCACCAAGGCGACGAUUGGUAGCCGGACUGAGAGGUUGAACGGCCACAUUGGGACUGAGACACGGCCCAAACUCCUACGGGAGGCAGCAGUGGGGAAUUUUGGGACAAUGGGGGCAACCCUGAUCCAGCCAUGCCGCGUGCAGGAUGAAGGCCUUCGGGUUGUAAACUGCUUUUGCCAGGGACGAAAGGACCGUGUUAAUACCAUGGUCUGCUGACGGUACCUGAAGAAUAAGCACCGGCUAACUACGUG
rnacentral:rRNA from 1 species